GAUGAACGCUGGCGGCGUGCCUAAUACAUGCAAGUCGAGCGAACGGACGAGAAGCUUGCUUCUCUGAUGUUAGCGGCGGACGGGUGAGUAACACGUGGAUAACCUACCUAUAAGACUGGGAUAACUUCGGGAAACCGGAGCUAAUACCGGAUAAUAUUUUGAACCGCAGGGUUCAAAAGUGAAAGACGGUCUUGCUGUCACUUAUAGAUGGAUCCGCGCUGCAUUAGCUAGUUGGUAAGGUAACGGCUUACCAAGGCAACGAUGCAUAGCCGACCUGAGAGGGUGAUCGGCCACACUGGAACUGAGACACGGUCCAGACUCCUACGGGAGGCAGCAGUAGGGAAUCUUCCGCAAUGGGCGAAAGCCUGACGGAGCAACGCCGCGUGAGUGAUGAAGGUCUUCGGAUCGUAAAACUCUGUUAUUAGGGAAGAACAUAUAUGUAAGUAACUGUGCACAUCUUGACGGUACCUAAUCAGAAAGCCACGGCUAACUACGUG
rnacentral:rRNA from 1 species